UAGGGAAUCUUCCGCAAUGGACGAAAGUCUGACGGAGCAACGCCGCGUGAGUGAAGAAGGAUUUCGGUUCGUAAAACUCUGUUGUUAGGGAAGAAAAAAUGUAUAGUAACUAUAUACAAAAGAGACGGUACCUAACCAGAAAGCCACGGCUAACUACGUGCCAGCAGCCGCGGUAAUACGUAGGUGGCAAGCGUUAUCCGGAUUUACUGGGCGUAAAGGGUGCGUAGGUGGUCCUUCAAGUCGGUGGUUAAAGGCUACGGCUCAACCGUAGUAAGCCGCCGAAACUGGAGGACUUGAGUGCAGGAGAGGAAAGUGGAAUUCCCAGUGUAGCGGUGAAAUGCGUAGAUAUUGGGAGGAACACCAGUAGCGAAGGCGGCUUUCUGGACUGCAACUGACACUGAGGCACGAAAGCGUGGGUAGCAAACAGG
rnacentral:rRNA from 1 species